AGAGUUUGAUCAUGGCUCAGAACGAACGCUGGCGGCGUGCCUAAUACAUGCAAGUCGAACGUGAAAGUACUUCGGUAUGAGUAAAGUGGCGCACGGGUGAGUAACACGUAGGUUAUCUGCCUUUUAGUGGGGAAUAACACAGCGAAAGUUGUGCUAAUACCGCAUAAGGAAGUAAUUCGAAAGGGGGGAGCAAUCCUCUCGCUGAAAGAAGAGCCUGCGUCCUAUUAGCUAGUUGGUGGGGUAAAAGCCUACCAAGGCAACGAUAGGUAUCCGGUCUGAGAGGAUGAUCGGACACACUGGAACUGAGACACGGUCCAGACUCCUACGGGAGGCAGCAGUAGGGAAUAUUGCGCAAUGGGGGAAACCCUGACGCAGCAACGCCGCGUGAGUGAGGAAGGUCUUCGGAUUGUAAAACUCUUUUAUUUGGGAAAAAUGAUCUAGUGGUUAAUACCCAUUAGAAGUGAUGGUACCAAAGGAAUAAGCACCGGCUAACUUCGUGCCAGCAGCCGCGGUAAUACGAAGGGUGCAAGCGUUGUUCGGAAUCAUUGGGCGUAAAGCGCGCGCAGGCGGAUUUGUAAGUCAGAUGUGAAAUCUCGGGGCUCAACCUCGAAACUGCGUCUGAAACUACAGGUCUAGAAUGUCGGAGGGGGCAGGGGAAUUUCACGUGUAGGGGUAAAAUCCGUAGAGAUGUGAAGGAACACCGGAGGCGAAGGCGCCUGCCUGGACGACUAUUGACGCUGAGGCGCGAAAGCGUGGGGAGCAAACAGGAUUAGAUACCCUAGUAGUCC
rnacentral:rRNA from 1 species